GCUCUUGUAAACCGUAAACAGUUCCCACUUGACAACGGUGCACAUAAAAAAACCUCCAGCAGUGGGGUGGAUGUGCCUCGACCGGUUGGGAAGAGGAGAGUGGGAGAAGAGAAACCAGGAACAGCUGUGUAACCAUCAUAUUUUAAGGGCUGGUUCACCCAAAAAGUAUUACAGUUGGCUGCAAAGCUGUUUACCCCUGAAACUCCAGAAGUGUUUUGUGGAUUCAAACACUUCACUCACCCCUCCGUCGUCAUAGUGUCCUGAUGCUCGUGCUCCUGUCCUGGUAUCAGCCAGCGGAUGCUGUCUGUUCUCAGGAUGGCGUAAAUAAAGAAGCCUGUGAUGAAGAGGAUGGAGAAGACCAGUAGCCAGUCGAUGCUGCUCACCGGGACGCUGGGGAGGGGGCCCAGGCGGUCAUCGUCCGUCACGUUUCUGUCAGUGACAGAUUCAAACCCUGGGACAGACGAGAUUUUUUAGAUACAGCAUACUUUAUGUCUUUAAGGAUAAGUCUUUUACCGUUCAUACCUGUCUGGUUAGCAAUGAAUGAGGUGAGUGUCUCCAGCGUUCUGUCAGUGUGGUUGAAGCGAGCCAUGGGUUUGGCCCCCUGGAACAAAAGAAUGUUGGGCACAGCCACGGUCCCAAACCUUGUGGAGAGGCUGGUGGAAGAUGGAGCCGGACAAGACAAAAGAAUGACAAAUCUUGAUUGUUUUAAAGAUUCACCAGAGUUACUAAUUUGAGGUCUAGUUUACAAAGUAGUGAAUAGGAUCUAAAGGCAAUUAUCUGUACAAAAGCUGAAAAUUAUGCACACAAAAGAAUUAACACACAAGUAAUCAGAGCAGGUUUUUUGGGAGGCGGGCCAGGAGCUAACAGAGCGUUUCAGACAGAGGGAGCAGGAAUGUAUGUGUAUAAGACAAAUAAUGUGUAUUUUUAAAAUAUCAGCAUGUAAACUUAUUGCAGUUGACCUUAAAUUAAAAAUGAUAAAUUUGCAAAUGGAAAAAAUA